rnacentral:snRNA from 1 species
GGAUGUGCAAUUGGCUGUGAUGUCUGUCGCCCUAUUGAUUGCCAGGGUUGAUAGAGCUCAUCUGGCCGGCAAGGUGGGUGUCCCCUUUCUCUUUCACUGUAUCACGCGCAUCCCUCGUGAGGCAGCACGCUCGGGAGAGGAUGACCACCCCAAUCCUCAGAGAUCAUUUCCUUGCUCAGUAUCCAGGCAGCUGCACUCCCCUGCUAGAAUCUGCAAGCAGCUCUCAAAACAUUUUGUCAGCAACACUAAAGAGUUGCAGUUUUGAGUAGAGGACAAUUCUGAAGUUUACUGUGGUCACUUUGGUAUAUUUAC